UACGUAGGGUGCGAGCGUUAAUCGGAAUUACUGGGCGUAAAGCGUGCGCAGGCGGUUCGCCAAGUCAGGUGUGAAAUCCCCGGGCUUAACCUGGGAAUUGCGCUUGAAACUAGCGGGCUCGAGUGUGGCAGAGGAAGGUGGAAUUCCACGUGUAGCGGUGAAAUGCGUAGAGAUGUGGAGGAACACCGAUGGCGAAGGCAGCCUUCUGGGCCAACACUGACGCUCAUGCACGAAAGCGUGGGGAGCAAACAGG
rnacentral:rRNA from 1 species